rnacentral:rRNA from 1 species
UACGGAGGGUGCGAGCGUUGUCCGGAAUCACUGGGCGUAAAGGGCGCGUAGGCGGCGCGGCAAGCGUGCGGUGAAAGCCCGGGGCUCAACCCCGGGUCGGCCGUGCGAACUGCCGGGCUCGAGCACUGUAGGGGCAGGCGGAAUUCCGGGUGUAGCGGUGGAAUGCGUAGAGAUCCGGAAGAACACCGGUGGCGAAGGCGGCCUGCUGGGCAGUGGCUGACGCUGAGGCGCGACAGCGUGGGGAGCAAACAGG